rnacentral:rRNA from 1 species
UACGAAGGGGGCUAGCGUUGCUCGGAAUCACUGGGCGUAAAGGGUGCGUAGGCGGGUCUUAAGUCAGGGGUGAAAUCCUGGAGCUCAACUCCAGAACUGCCUUUGAUACUGAAGAUCUUGAGUUCGGGAGAGGUGAGUGGAACUGCGAGUGUAGAGGUGAAAUUCGUAGAUAUCCGCAAGAACACCAGUGGCGAAGGCGGCUCACUGGCCCGAUACUGACGCUGAUGCACGAAAGCGUGGGGAGCAAACAGG